rnacentral:rRNA from 1 species
UACGGGGGGGGGCAAGCGUUUGUUCGGAAUUACUGGGCGUAAAGGGCUCGUAGGCGGCCAACUAAGUCAUACGUGAAAUCCCUCGGCUUAACCGGGGAACUGCGUCUGAUACUGGAUGGCUUGAGUUCGGGAGAGGGAUGCGGAAUUCCAGGUGUAGCGGUGAAAUGCGUAGAUAUCGGGAGGAACACCAGUGGCGAAGGCGGCGAUCUGGGAAGAUACUGACGCUGAGGUGCGAAAGCGUGGGGGAGCAAACAGGG